UACGGGGGGGGCAAGCGUUGUUCGGAAUUACUGGGCGUAAAGCGCACGUAGGCGGCUUUCUAAGUCGGGGGUGAAAUCCUGGAGCUCAACUCCAGAACUGCCUUCGAUACUGGAAAGCUCGAGUCCGGGAGAGGUGAGUGGAACUGCGAGUGUAGAGGUGAAAUUCGUAGAUAUUCGCAAGAACACCAGUGGCGAAGGCGGCUCACUGGCCCGGUACUGACGCUGAGGUGCGAAAGCGUGGGGAGCAAACAGGG
rnacentral:rRNA from 1 species